rnacentral:rRNA from 1 species
AUUGAACGCUGGCGGCACGCCUAACACAUGCAAGUCGAGCGGUAGCAUGAUCUGUAGCAAUACAGAUUGAUGACGAGCGGCGGACGGGUGAGGAACACGUAGGAACUUGCCCAAUAGAGGGGGAUAACUAAGGGAAACUUUAGCUAAUACCGCAUAUUCUCGAGAGAGGAAAGCUGCCCGCAAGGGUGGCGCCAUUGGAGAGGCCUGCGUCCGAUUAGCUAGUUGGUGAGGUAAAGGCUCACCAAGGCGAUGAUCGGUAACUGGUCUUAGAGGACGACCAGUCACUGGGACUGAGACACGGCCCAGACUCCUACGGGAGGCAGCAGUGGGGAAUCUUGGACAAUGGGGGCAACCCUGAUCCAGCGAUGCCGCGUGAGUGAAGAAGGCCUUCGGGUCGUAAAGCUCUUUAGGUUGGGAGGAAGGUUAGUAUUUUAAGAGAUAACUAAUUUGACUGUACCGACAGAAUAAGCACCGGCAAACUCUGUGCCAGCCGCCGCCGUAA